AUUGAACGCUGGCGGCAGGCCUAACACAUGCAAGUCGAGCGGAUGAAGGGAGCUUGCUCCUGGAUUCAGCGGCGGACGGGUGAGUAAUGCCUAGGAAUCGGCCUGGUCGUGGGGGAUAACGUCCGGAAACGGGCGCUAAUACCGCAUACGUCCUGAGGGGGAAAGUGGGGGAUCUUCAGACUUCACGCUAUCAGAUGAGCCUAGGUCGGAUUAGCUAGUUGGUGGGGUAAAGGCCUACCAAGGCGACGAUCCGUAACUGGUCUGAGAGGAUGAUCAGUCACACUGGAACUGAGACGCGGUCCAGACUCCUACGGGAGGCAGCAGUGGGGAAUAUUGGCCAAUGGGCGAAAGCCUGAUCCAGCCGUGCCGCGUGUGUGAAGAAGGUCUUCGGAUUGUAAAGCACUUUAAGUUGUGAGGAAGGGCAGUAAGUUAAUACCUUGCUGUUUUGACGUUACCAACAGAAUAAGCACCGGCUAACUUCGUG
rnacentral:rRNA from 1 species